UCUAAUAGACGUCAGACUUAGACGUCUAGAAGACGUUGGCAUUAGGUUGGAUAGAAAGUCUGAUAAAUGUUUUUAGUUAUAAAACUAACUGGUAUAAUUUUGCUAGUAUAGUUUAAAGAUAUUUACUUGUUUUCAUAAAGGCCUGGACAUGCGCUUAUUAAUAAUAGUUCAUUCUCACAACAAACACUAUAUUAAUUAUGUUACAAUAUCGCAUGAGAUUGUCUAUUUUCGGAGACGGAUUUUUUUCACGAACUUUAAACUGUUAAAGAUAAAAAUGCAUUCUAUACACAUAUAUAAAUCAUUCUAAAUUCACAUAAAUCUUCUCUUCUACACAUGUUGUCUAUCAGUCACACAUUCGCGAGAUAAGCCUGCAUCGGUUUACACAGUCUUCCUGUAAUUUGAUAUUUAUUGGGAUAAGAUAGAGCAAGUUUAUAAAUACUUUACACAAAGGGAAGGAUCCGCAACGUGGAAAUGUUGGCGGAGUUGAAGAAUCAUACAAAAAUGACGAAACAUGAAAAUUUCAAUUACUGCAUUACUUUUUGGACUUAUUGUAUUAGACUUACGUCGCCAUAAUAUGAAAUAAAGAUGAUAAAAUACA